UGACGCGGUACGCGAACUGGAAUAGCGGCGGAGCUUAAACCUUCGUGAUUGCGGGUUCAAAUCCCGCCUGCGUCAA
rnacentral:tRNA from 1 species